UGGGGAAUAUUGCACAAUGGAGGGAACUCUGAUGCAGCGACGCCGCGUGAACGAAGAAGGCUUUCGAGUCGUAAAGUUCUUUUAUAUGGGAAGAUAAUGACGGUACCAUAAGAAAAAGCCCCGGCUAACUACGUGCCAGCAGCCGCGGUAAUACGUAGGGGGCUAGCGUUGUCCGGAAUCACUGGGCGUAAAGGGUUCGCAGGCGGAAAUGCAAGUCAGGUGUAAAAGGCAGUAGCUUAACUACUGUAAGCAUUUGAAAUUGCAUAUCUUGAGAAGAGUAGAGGUAAGUGGAAUUUUUAGUGUAGCGGUGAAAUGCGUAGAUAUUAAAAAGAAUACCGGUGGCGAAGGCGGCUUACUGGGCUCAUUCUGACGCUGAGGAACGAAAGCGUGGGUAGCAAACAGG
rnacentral:rRNA from 1 species